AACGAACGCUGGCGGCAUGCCUAACACAUGUAAGUCGAACGAGAUCCUUCGGGGUCUAGUGGCGCACGGGUGCGUAACGCGUGGGAAUCUGCCCUUAGGUUCGGAAUAACAGUUAGAAAUGACUGCUAAUACCGGAUGAUGACGUUAAGUCCAAAGAUUUAUCGCCUGAGGAUGAGCCCGCGUAGGAUUAGCUAGUUGGUGUGGUAAAGGCGCACCAAGGCGACGAUCCUUAGCUGGUCUGAGAGGAUGAUCAGCCACACUGGGACUGAGACACGGCCCAGACUCCUACAGGAGGCAGCAGUGGGGAAUAUUGGACAAUGGGCGCAAGCCUGAUCCAGCAAUGCCGCGUGAGUGAUGAAGGCCUUAGGGUUGUAAAGCUCUUUUACCCGGGAUGAUAAUGACAGUACCGGGAGAAUAAGCCCCGGCUAACUCCGUG
rnacentral:rRNA from 1 species